CCCUUCACGGCCCGAACUUGGUUUCUAUGCGUUUAUGGAAAAUGAGAAGAUUCAUAAUUGCACAGAAUUUUCCUAAUUAAAUUCGACAAAACUUGAAUGUCUACGGAAACCCACGGUCUAGUUACGAUCGUUGUAUGGAAGAUACGUGAACAAAAGCGUG